rnacentral:rRNA from 1 species
AGUGAACGCUGGCGGUAGGCCUAACACAUGCAAGUCGAACGGCAGCACAGGAGAGCUUGCUCUCUGGGUGGCGAGUGGCGGACGGGUGAGGAAUACAUCGGAAUCUACUCUGUCAUGGGGGAUAACGUAGGGAAACUUACGCUAAUACCGCAUACGACCUACGGGUGAAAGCAGGGGACCUUCGGGCCUUGCGCGAUUGAAUGAGCCGAUGUCGGAUUAGCUAGUUGGCGGGGUAAAGGCCCACCAAGGCGACGAUCCGUAGCUGGUCUGAGAGGAUGAUCAGCCAGACGGGAACUGAGACACGGUCCAGACUCCUACGGGAGGCAGCAGUGGGGAAUAUUGGAAAAUGGGCGCAAUCCUGAUCCAGCCAUACCGAGUGGGUGAAGAAGGCCUUCGGGUUGUAAAGCCCUUUUGUUGGGAAAGAAAUCCAGCUGGCUAAUACCCGGUUGGGAUGACGGUACCCAAAGAAUAAGCACCGGCUAACUUCGUGCCAGCCGCCGCGGUAA